GAUGAACGCUGGCGGCGUGCCUAAUACAUGCAAGUCGGACGGAGCGCUUCGGCGCUCAGUGGCGAACGGGUGAGUAGCACAUGGGCAACCUGCCCUUCAGAGGGGAAUAACGUUCUGAAAAGAACGCUAAUACCGCAUAAUGUACAGCUUUCGCAUGGAAGCAGUACCAAAGGAGCAAUCCGCUGAGAGAUGGACUCGCGUCCGAUUAGCUAGUUGGUGGGGUAAAGGCCUACCAAGGCGACGAUCGGUAGCCGGACUGAGAGGUUGAACGGCCACAUUGGGACUGAGACACGGCCCAG
rnacentral:rRNA from 1 species